AUGGGAGGACCAGAGACGAAGGGCUUGGAAGGAGACCCUCACAUGCAUCAUUUCCUCCUCUUCCCACUGUGUGCUGGGAGUCCAGAGGCCUCAGGAGGACAACCCUCCCCAGUGUACUGUGGAGGAUGACACAGCACGUCUUCCUAAUGACACGCGACCAUCCUGGUGCUUCUACAUGGUUGAUGCGGGCAGUGUGGGACCCUCAGUUCUAGGACUGGUCCGCAGAGAGAGCACCCAGGAGCAGGGCGCUUCAGAGCAGUCCUCAGUGGUGCCACCUGCUGGUGCUAAUAGGAACAGCCACAGGUCUCUUGAGGACCGGCCCACCCUGCCCACCUCCCUACUGACAAGUUCUGUGGUAUUUCAAAAGGGAGAAACCACUAUAAAAGACAAGAGGAAGGGCAGACAGUAGGUGUUCCAUUUCCAGAAUUUAAAAAAAAAAUCCAUUUAAGACGUACCGCUGUUUUACCAGGACUGAAUGGGACUGUAGUGCCAAGCACAGCCAGGAAAUAGAGAAACUGUUAUUAUUGAAGGGAAUUUAUUCACAUGGGAAAGCCUCAUUAAAUAGAUUCUGUGUGUGA